rnacentral:sRNA from 2 species
ACUUACAUCAAUCCAGAUAAGAAAAAUACUAUAUAAUUACAACUGCAAUACUCGUCAAUAAUUCUCUUCUCAUUUUCAACCCCAAACCUGGCACCUGCUUUGUACGAAUGCAUUUAUACUUUCGCGUUCGGUACGGUCCAUAAACUUUAUCGGAGCGUGUAUGACGAUAUUUUCAUCCUCAAAGCUCUAUAAGAUUAUUGCUGUCAGAAUAUUCCAUCCACAUUGUUUUUCAUCAUCGCCCAUCAAGAAGUUUCCCGCCCGCGGUUCAUGGCUGAUCUCAUGUUAUUGAUCCCGCGUACGUCUUUACUUUGAUAUUUCUUACACGUAGCUAGCCAUCAUGGAGCUCCUUUUGUCAAGCCUGUCUUUUGGACAACUGAUGGCUGAUCUCCGGGACGACUGGCUUAUCUUUCUACUCGUCCUUUCUUUACUGAUCUUUAGGUCAAUCGGCAUCUUUUGAAUCCAUUCUCCAAGCUGUUAUCUGCAUUAUCCUUUCCAGGAAUCGUCGUAUUUACAUUCGGGGUUGGUAGCUUAUUUCUCCAUUGAGUGGAGAGAACUGCGAGCAAGCCUGUUCUUAUAAGUUACUUUCUUAUUCUUUGGAGGAGCUAUGGCCAUUCGUGUUCCAGUGCGGUAUAAGCAGAGUCUAAGAAGCCAGCAAGACAGUUCUUCUCAAGUAUCAGUCAUACUCUCUCCCGUUCAAAAAAUAUCCCCGGUUCAACGAUUUAGAUAUUUCAUUAUCUUUUAAUCAUUUGCUAACAAUAAUUUUAGAUAUCUAUUUGCGAUAUGUUGCCAGAUAUUCCUGCCACUCUAGAAAUCCGCUACUCCUAAUAUCCUACCCUGUUAUCCUAAGUGACAGUGGCCUCUCUGCAACAAAUCGUUAACGCGGUUUUCACCUCGCCAUAACUGGGACAUCGUCUUAAAGGCCUGGAAAAUCGACCUCUAUCCCCUCCAUCCAGAAAUACUCUUACUCCAAGCUAUAGUUCAUCUUUCUUUCCUUCCUUCUAUCACACUCGUCAAAAUGACACAUACCACAAUCCACUUCCAUUUUCGUUAUUUCCUCCAUAGUCACCACAACCUUGGGACCUGCCAUCUCCUUUAUAACCAUCACAUGUUUAAACCGUUCGAUAUGGCGACCCUAGCGACUUUCGCCAUACGUGGGUGGUCUACGGAGGGGGCUACCUAAAAUUAUAUGGGAAUUGGGUUUCCAUUUUAGGCAUCAGCGAUCAAGCCUCACGAAGAGCUAAGGGAAUUUCCGAGAUUCUCUGAACCUACCGUGGAUAAAUUGCUUUUUGAUCUCGUCGGGGUGCUGAGCACAACAGCUACCAGGAGGGGGAAGCGUACAAACAGAUACUUCAUUUUUUGCAGAGCAGUGAGUGGGAUCAGAGAGAGGAAACGACCAGCUUUUGAAUGAACGGUGAAUGUUCCUUUGAUUACAAGUCAAUGGGUCUGAUUCGACUUUCACUUGCUCUGUUGUGGUUCCCGGAAGUAUUUGCAAAGGUGGAACUGACUCUUUAUAUGCCUUUUUCAGUUGUUGUGCCUUAAUCCCUACUGCACUUGGACUUAAAGCUUUAAACUUCCCCCAUUUGCUCUUUGCUUUGCAAGUGAGAGUGACGUAGUGUACGGGUGCAUUCGCAAAUGAGACUACUACAUAUUCAUGUGUAGUACGCUGCAAUGCUUUACAAUCUGGGCCAGAGGCGGUAACACGACAGACUUUCCUGAGAUUAUGUAUAUUAUGUUUCAAAGGCUCUGGGUUUUCUCGUAUUUUCAAUAUAUAUAAUUGGGGCUGGUUACGUUUGUUGAUUUAUACAUAUAUUUUAUGCUGGUCGACUUUCCCUGAGGUGCUAUGGAACCCCUGCACUUUUUGAGGGCUACAAUGCAAUGGGUCCCAAAUCCUCUACUCAACCAUCAAUGAUGAUUACUUAUUUAAGUGAGG